UUGGAGGGCAAGUCUGGUGCCAGCAGCCGCGGUAAUUCCAGCUCCAAUAGCGUAUAUUAAAGUUGUUGCAGUUAAAAAACGCUCGUAGUUGAACCUUGGGUCUGGCUGGCCGGUCCGCCUCACCGCGAGUACUGGUCCGGCUGGACCUUUCCUUCUGGGGAAUCUCAUGGCCUUCACUGGCUGUGGGGGGUAACCCAGGACUUUUACUGUGAAAAAACUUAGAGUGUUCAAAGCAGGCCUUUGCUCGAAUACAUUAGCAUGGAAUAAUAGAAUAGGACG
rnacentral:rRNA from 1 species